GGACGGUGACGAUUUCUACAGAUAGGUCUCGUUCGUCGUAAAUGGCUGUUUUAAUGGCCUUUGCCGACCAUCCUGUUAUAUCACCACCCAUAUUCCGAGUCC
rfam:Gossypium arboreum cultivar AKA8401 contig_1100_5, whole genome shotgun sequence.